GACAGAGGGUGCAAACGUUGUUCGGAAUUACUGGGCGUAAAGCGAGUGUCGGCGGUCUCAUAAGUCGGGUGUGAAAGCCCUGGGCUCAACCCAGGAAGUGCACUCGAUACUGCGAGGCUAGAGUAUCGGAGAGGUUGGUGGAAUUCUCGGUGUAGAGGUGAAAUGCGUAGAUAUCGUAAGGAAGACCAGUGGCGAAGGCGGGUCUCUGGACAGUUCCUGACGCUGAGGCACGAAGGUCAGGGGAGCAAACGGG
rnacentral:rRNA from 1 species